rnacentral:rRNA from 1 species
GAGCACGUAGGUGGGUUUGUAAGUCAGAUGUGAAAGCCUUCUGUUCAACGGAAGAAUUGCACCUGAAACUGCAAGUCUUGAGUGUAGGAGGGGAGAAUGGAACUUCUGGUGGAGCGGUGAAAUGCGUAGAUAUCAGAAGGAACGCCGGCGGCGAAAGCGAUUCUCUGGCCUAUUACUGACACUCAGUGUGCGAAAGCUAGGGGAGCAAACGGGAUUAGAUACCCCGGUAGUCCUAGCCGUAAACGAUGGGCACUAAGUAGAGGGGUUUU